GAACGCACAUUGCGCCCGCCAGUAUUCUGGCGGGCAUGCCUGUUCGAGCGUCAUUUCAACCCUCAAGCCCCCGGGCUUGGUGUUGGGGAUCGGCACAAGGCGCUGGCACCCUCGGGAGCCCGCGCCCGCCGUCCCCCAAAUCCAGUGGCGGUCACGCCGUGUGUACCUCAGCGUAGUAGCAACACCUCGCUCCGGAACCCUUCUGUGAACCACGCCGUAAAACCCCCGACUUUUUUCUGGUUGACCUCGAAUCAGGUAGGACUACCCGCUGAACUUAAG
rnacentral:misc_RNA from 1 species